GAUGAACGCUGGCGGCGUGCCUAAUACAUGCAAGUCGAGCGAACAGACGAGGAGCUUGCUCCUCUGACGUUAGCGGCGGACGGGUGAGUAACACGUGGAUAACCUACCUAUAAGACUGGGAUAACUUCGGGAAACCGGAGCUAAUACCGGAUAAUAUAUUGAACCGCAUGGUUCAAUAGUGAAAGACGGUUUUGCUGUCACUUAUAGAUGGAUCCGCGCCGCAUUAGCUAGUUGGUAAGGUAACGGCUUACCAAGGCAACGAUGCGUAGCCGACCUGAGAGGGAGAUCGGCCAAACUGGAACUGAGACACGGUCCAGACUCCUACGGGAGGCAGCAGUAGGGAAUCUUCCGCAAUGGGCGAAAGCUUGACGGAGCAACGCCGCGUGAGUGAUGAAGGUCUUCGGAUCGUAAAACUCUGUUAUUAGGGAAGAACAAAUGUGUAAGUAACUAUGCACGUCUUGACGGUACCUAAUCAGAAAGCCACGGCUAACUACGUG
rnacentral:rRNA from 1 species